UACGGAGGGAGCUAGCGUUGUUCGGAAUUACUGGGCGUAAAGCGCACGUAGGCGGCUAUUCAAGUCGGGGGUGAAAGCCCGGGGCUCAACCCCGGAACUGCCCUCGAAACUAGGUAGCUAGAAUCUUGGAGAGGUCAGUGGAAUUCCGAGUGUAGAGGUGAAAUUCGUAGAUAUUCGGAAGAACACCAGUGGCGAAGGCGACUGACUGGACAAGUAUUGACGCUGAGGUGCGAAAGCGUGGGGAGCGAACAGG
rnacentral:rRNA from 1 species